AGCGUACACGGUGGAUGCCCUGGCAGUCAGAGGCGAUGAAGGACGUGCUAAUCUGCGAUAAGCGUCGGUAAGGUGAUAUGAACCGUUAUAACCGGCGAUUUCCGAAUGGGGAAACCCAGUGUGUUUCGACACACUAUCAUUAACUGAAUCCAUAGGUUAAUGAGGCGAACCGGGGGAACUGAAACAUCUAAGUACCCCGAGGAAAAGAAAUCAACCGAGAUUCCCCCAGUAGCGGCGAGCGAACGGGGAGCAGCCCAGAGCCUGAAUCAGUGUGUGUGUUAGUGGAAGCGUCUGGAAAGGCGCGCGAUACAGGGUGACAGCCCCGUACACAAAAAUGCACAUGCUGUGAGCUCGAUGAGUAGGGCGGGACACGUGGUAUCCUGUCUGAAUAUGGGGGGACCAUCCUCCAAGGCUAAAUACUCCUGACUGACCGAUAGUGAACCAGUACCGUGAGGGAAAGGCGAAAAGAACCCCGGCGAGGGGAGUGAAAAAGAACCUGAAACCGUGUACGUACAAGCAGUGGGAGCACAGAGCAAUCUGUGUGACUGCGUACCUUUUGUAUAAUGGGUCAGCGACUUAUAUUCUGUAGCAAGGUUAACCGAAUAGGGGAGCCGAAGGGAAACCGAGUCUUAACUGGGCGUUAAGUUGCAGGGUAUAGACCCGAAACCCGGUGAUCUAGCCAUGGGCAGGUUGAAGGUUGGGUAACACUAACUGGAGGACCGAACCGACUAAUGUUGAAAAAUUAGCGGAUGACUUGUGGCUGGGGGUGAAAGGCCAAUCAAACCGGGAGAUAGCUGGUUCUCCCCGAAAGCUAUUUAGGUAGCGCCUCGUGAAUUCAUCUCCGGGGGUAGAGCACUGUUUCGGCAAGGGGGUCAUCCCGACUUACCAACCCGAUGCAAACUGCGAAUACCGGAGAAUGUUAUCACGGGAGACACACGGCGGGUGCUAACGUCCGUCGUGAAGAGGGAAACAACCCAGACCGCCAGCUAAGGUCCCAAAGUCAUGGUUAAGUGGGAAACGAUGUGGGAAGGCCCAGACAGCCAGGAUGUUGGCUUAGAAGCAGCCAUCAUUUAAAGAAAGCGUAAUAGCUCACUGGUCGAGUCGGCCUGCGCGGAAGAUGUAACGGGGCUAAACCAUGCACCGAAGCUGCGGCAGCGACGCUUAUGCGUUGUUGGGUAGGGGAGCGUUCUGUAAGCCUGUGAAGGUGUACUGUGAGGUAUGCUGGAGGUAUCAGAAGUGCGAAUGCUGACAUAAGUAACGAUAAAGCGGGUGAAAAGCCCGCUCGCCGGAAGACCAAGGGUUCCUGUCCAACGUUAAUCGGGGCAGGGUGAGUCGACCCCUAAGGCGAGGCCGAAAGGCGUAGUCGAUGGGAAACAGGUUAAUAUUCCUGUACUUGGUGUUACUGCGAAGGGGGGACGGAGAAGGCUAUGUUGGCCGGGCGACGGUUGUCCCGGUUUAAGCGUGUAGGCUGGUUUUCCAGGCAAAUCCGGAAAAUCAAGGCUGAGGCGUGAUGACGAGGCACUACGGUGCUGAAGCAACAAAUGCCCUGCUUCCAGGAAAAGCCUCUAAGCAUCAGGUAACAUCAAAUCGUACCCCAAACCGACACAGGUGGUCAGGUAGAGAAUACCAAGGCGCUUGAGAGAACUCGGGUGAAGGAACUAGGCAAAAUGGUGCCGUAACUUCGGGAGAAGGCACGCUGAUAUGUAGGUGAAGUCCCUCGCGGAUGGAGCUGAAAUCAGUCGAAGAUACCAGCUGGCUGCAACUGUUUAUUAAAAACACAGCACUGUGCAAACACGAAAGUGGACGUAUACGGUGUGACGCCUGCCCGGUGCCGGAAGGUUAAUUGAUGGGGUUAGCGCAAGCGAAGCUCUUGAUCGAAGCCCCGGUAAACGGCGGCCGUAACUAUAACGGUCCUAAGGUAGCGAAAUUCCUUGUCGGGUAAGUUCCGACCUGCACGAAUGGCGUAAUGAUGGCCAGGCUGUCUCCACCCGAGACUCAGUGAAAUUGAACUCGCUGUGAAGAUGCAGUGUACCCGCGGCAAGACGGAAAGACCCCGUGAACCUUUACUAUAGCUUGACACUGAACAUUGAGCCUUGAUGUGUAGGAUAGGUGGGAGGCUUUGAAGUGUGGACGCCAGUCUGCAUGGAGCCGACCUUGAAAUACCACCCUUUAAUGUUUGAUGUUCUAACGUGGACCCGUAAUCCGGGUUGCGGACAGUGUCUGGUGGGUAGUUUGACUGGGGCGGUCUCCUCCUAAAGAGUAACGGAGGAGCACGAAGGUUGGCUAAUCCUGGUCGGACAUCAGGAGGUUAGUGCAAUGGCAUAAGCCAGCUUGACUGCGAGCGUGACGGCGCGAGCAGGUGCGAAAGCAGGUCAUAGUGAUCCGGUGGUUCUGAAUGGAAGGGCCAUCGCUCAACGGAUAAAAGGUACUCCGGGGAUAACAGGCUGAUACCGCCCAAGAGUUCAUAUCGACGGCGGUGUUUGGCACCUCGAUGUCGGCUCAUCACAUCCUGGGGCUGAAGUAGGUCCCAAGGGUAUGGCUGUUCGCCAUUUAAAGUGGUACGCGAGCUGGGUUUAGAACGUCGUGAGACAGUUCGGUCCCUAUCUGCCGUGGGCGCUGGAGAAUUGAGGGGGGCUGCUCCUAGUACGAGAGGACCGGAGUGGACGCAUCACUGGUGUUCGGGUUGUCAUGCCAAUGGCACUGCCCGGUAGCUAAAUGCGGAAGAGAUAAGUGCUGAAAGCAUCUAAGCACGAAACUUGCCCCGAGAUGAGUUCUCCCUGACUCCUUGA
rnacentral:rRNA from 1 species